GUGCUCACUUGGGCAGCACAUAUACUAAAAUUGGAACGAUCCAGAGAAGAUUAGCAUGGUCCCUGCCCAAUGAUGACAUGCAAAUUUGUGAAGUGUUUCAUGUUUUU